AUUGAACGCUGGCGGCAUGCUUUACACAUGCAAGUCGAACGGGGCGGUGGGGCAACUCACCGUCUAGUGGCGAACGGGUGAGUAAUGCAUCGGAACGUACCCAGUCGUGGGGGAUAACGUAGCGUAAGUUACGCUAAUACCGCAUACGUCCUGAGGGAGAAAGCGGGGGACCUGAAAGGGCCUCGCGCGAUUGGAGCGGCCGAUGUCCGAUUAGCUAGUUGGUGGGGUAAAGGCCCACCAAGGCGACGAGCGGUGGCGGGUCUGAGAGGACGGCCCGCCACACUGGGACUGAGACACGGCCCAGACUCCUACGGGAGGCAGCAGUGGGGAAUCUUGGACAAUGGGCGCAAGCCUGAUCCAGCCAUGCCGCGUGAGUGAAGAAGGCCUUCGGGUUGUAAAGCUCUUUCGGCCGGGACGAAAUCGGGCAGGUGAAUAAUCUGCCUGGAUGACGGUACUGGAAGAAGAAGCACCGGCUAACUACGUGCCAGCAGCCGCGGUAAGAC
rnacentral:rRNA from 1 species